rnacentral:rRNA from 1 species
UACGUAGGGGGGCAAGCGUUGUCCGGAAUCAUUGGGCGUAAAGAGCGUGUAGGCGGUCCGGUCAGUCGGUUGUGAAAGUCAAGGGCUCAACCCUUGAAUGCCGGCCGAUACUGCCGGGCUAGAGUCCGGAAGAGGUGAGUGGAAUUCCCGGUGUAGCGGUGAAAUGCGCAGAUAUCGGGAAGAACACCGGUGGCGAAGGCGGCUCUCUGGACCUGUCCUGACGCUCAGGCGCGAAAGCUAGGGGAGCGAACAGG